UGGGGUAUAUUGGACAAUGGACCGAGAGUCUGAUCCAGCACUUCUGUGUGCACGAUGUCGUUUUUCGGAAUGUAUAGUGCUUUCAGUUGGAAAGAAAAAGAUAACGGUACCAACAGAAGAUGUGACGGCUAAAUACGAGCCCGCAGCUGCGGUAAUACGUAUGUCACGAGCGUUAUCCGGUUUUAUUGGGCGUAAAGCGCGACUAGGUGGUUAUGUAAGUCUGAUGUGAAAAUGCAGGGCUCAACUCUGUAUUGCGUUGGAAACUGUAUAACUAGAGUACUGGAGAGGGAAGCGGAACUACAAGUGUAGAGGUGAAAUUCGUAGAGUUUUGUAGGAAUGCCGAUGGGGAAGCGAGCUUACUGGGCAGAUACGAACGCUAAAGCGCGAAGGCGGGGGGAGCAAAGAGG
rnacentral:rRNA from 1 species